AAUAUUCUUUUGUAAGCUUUCAGAGUCUUUUCUCCCGACUCUUCCACUUCUCUUCUCCAAUCUACGUUUUGCAUUACCUACUCAAUCGAUGACAAUCUUUAAAAGCAUCGUGGAUGUUUUGUUCCACCUCCCCUUGAUCAUCCUCCUAUAUAAAGGGCUAUGUCUAAACCUAAAUACAUCCAAAAUCAAAAACCUAAUGAGAAUCGUAAGAGGUAUGGCUCCUCAUGGAACUAGAUCAAGUGACAUUGACAAAGUAGAAUCGAAGAGUCAUCGAAUGAUCUACACAGCCAUCUUGGUCAUCCGCUUUCUACUUCUAUCCAUGUUAUUUUUUGGUUCUGUAUUUAUGGAUUAUGGAUAUGCAGAAUCUAUCGAUCCUUUUUUUUUCUUCUUCUAACUUUUGUUUUACAGCUCUAUCUGAUGUGAGGGUUCUUUGUUCUCUUCAAAGAAGCUACACAUUACCAAGUGCAUUCGGUUAAUUAAUAUUUGUGGUUGUUUUAGAUUUUCCGAUAGUGUUUUCAUUACAUCACUUCCCACCUCAAACUUAGAUUGUCAUGUUUUUUUUUGUUGGAUUUUGUUCAGGUUUUGAAGGCUAUUAGUAAAUUCUGUAUAUGCUCCGUUUGAAUAGGGAUGUUGCUCAAGAUCUUCAUCAUGUACCCUACUCAACACCGCACAUAUAGAGUUGAUAUUAAUAAUCUAUUUGGUUCUUUCGACUGGAGGAAUCUCAAUCUUUGUACCAACGUUUUAUCAAUAGAAUCAAAAAGGUCCCAUCCCCAAGAGGCUGGAAUGAAUGUUUUCGGCAGUGAUAAGACUGGGACUCUAACUCUUAACAAGCUUUGCGUCUAUUAGUCAUUGAUUGAAGUAUUCCCAAGGAACAUAGAUUCCGGUGCAGUUGUAUUGAUAGCUGCAAGAGCCUCCAAAUUCGAAAACCAAGAUGCCAUUGAUGCAUCCAUUGUAGGGAUGUUGGGUGAUCCAAAAAAGGUAAUUUGAAUUGAUUUAGUUAAAUCUGUAUCCUUUUGCUGCAGGCAAUCUUGAUCAAUUCAGAUAGGCAAGAGAAGGAAUCAAAGAGGUGCAUUUCUUUUCCUUUAAUCCUGUAAACGUACAGCUAUCACAUACACUGAUGAAAAUGGAGACUCGCAUGAAGCAGCAAAGGAGCUCCUGAGCAAAUUGUACCUGAGAAGACCAAGGAAAGCGAGGGUAGUCCAUAUGGGAUCUUAUUGUUUCUUGCGUUCUAAAGUAUCUGGGAAUGGACAAUCCCUAAAAGUACCAGCUUUAGGUAAUUUUAUAUCAACCAAACAUAAUUAGAAAUCUGGCGAUCAAGUUACACUACCGUUGAGUAUCAGAGCGGAAGCUAUAAAAGGUAGAGCUAUUAUUCUUAAUCUUCUGAUCAUAUUACUGUCCUUGCAAUGAAAAAUUAAAAGUAGCAGGAUGUUCAAUGUUUUAUAUCUAAUACUUUGUAGAGUUGGUUAAAUCAAAUCGAUUAAGCUGUACCCAUUUUUUCUCACCCUUCGGUUUUUGGCUUAUAGAGCUUGAGAUUUGUUUUCUUUUCGCUGGCUUAUUCUUAGUUAAUAGCACGAACUAAGAGCAGCCUCCAGUAAAUGUGAAGAACUUGAGUUCUUAUAUGAUUAACGUGCUACCCAGGUCUGUUGCCACAUUCUCAACUUGAUCACAUUUACCUUCAUACAAGCAUGUCUAAUGUAUUUUUGUAGCCAGGUCACAAAUACUCUUCAUAUUUCAACAAACCUUCAUGGUUGCACUAAUUUCCCUUUAAGUUGCUACCUACUUUCAGACUCUAGCUUCUCCCAUGUGAUAUACUAAGCGUUUCAGAUUCUAGAUUUUUCUUUUAGAAAUAGAGUAUAAUUUAGUUCUUAAACAAUGUUAUUCAAGCAAGUGUGUGUUACUGAGUUCAUCUCAUGCUUCUCCCAUGUGCUAUAUACUAAAUAUUUUAGAGUCUCCAGUUCCUUAUAUUCACUUCAGAAGUAGAGUAUAAGUUGUUACACAUUGGCUUCAGGCCGAUGUUAAGAUCGUACAACAUGUUAAGUGUUUUUCUAAAAUUCAAUUGGUAUCAAAUGCAAAUAUAAAGCCACCGAAUUUCUUGGAUGCAUGAGCGAUGAUUAAGCAUGAUUAGUCAUCAAGACUGAUAAAAUCAAAAAACAAAUUGUCAACAAAAAAAAAAUUGACUGUAUGAGAACAUCAAAACUGAUUUUUUUACUGUCAUAAAAACAUAUAAACAGAAUUUCAUAAAUACUUUUAACUAAGUCCACUGAAGUACCAAAAAUAAUAUAAAUGAAUACAAGGAAAUAAAAAUAUUCUUGAAACAUAAUAUCAUGUUUGGAGUAACAAAAUAUUACUCUAGACUGAAUAAAUAUUUAUAUUCAAACAGAAUUAUAAUUCGAAAACUCCCCAAUACAAUUAAUAAUAUACACA